rnacentral:lncRNA from 1 species
AUGGCCACGUGGGAAUUCUUAUGCCAUUGGCCUCUCAUCAGGCAAAGAACUUUGAAACUGUACUGUCAGUGGGAACCAAUUCUCAUGACCAUGAGAGAGUGUCGCACAUUGGGCCACACAAUAAGGCAUGUCCACAACACACAGGAAUCCCUGCAGAUAUCUCUUGGAGUUUCUGUGUCCAGUGAUAAGAAUAAACAGUCAAUUGUAGCAACCAUCAGAUGGCAAAGGCAAGGCAUGUCAGGAAUCACAUCCUUGGGAAUAAAAGGCUGUGUCACACUAUCAGGGCAGUGGACCCCUACCAAGAAGACACAGCAACAUCC